UGUAUAAAUGACAACACCAUAAGCCCAUCAAACACGUCUCUCCCCAGCACAAAGCUUGUUAGGAGCCCACCAGAAAGCUCAGGUACUUUCCCCAUUUCCUAGUAUAUACAUCCAAUCUGGCCAACCGUUCAGAAAAUGUAAUC